AUUUCUCUGUAACUUUUGGUAAUGAGAUUUUGCAUUAGCGUUUGAGUUGGCCAACAUUACUAUCCUUGUGUUCAAAUGUGGGGUAGUUGAUUCGACAUUGUUUUCAAAGCUGUUCACAGGAGAUGCUUUUUUGUUAUAAAUUGGUGCAUUGACAAGGUUAAGCAAGCAAUUUAUAACAGCUUCUAGACCAAGUGUGGCAUGCUUGCAAUUCAUGGUAGUCGUUAUUAACAAUGUGGGAUGGGCAUUCCAAAGUUGAGCACAUGGAACAUGAAAUUUAAAGCCACCGUAUGUAAAGAAGUUAUCUAAUCUUGCUAAAUUUUUCAUUCGAAAGUGCCCGAAGAUUCUUAUGGUUUUUGGUCAUUAAUCUUCCACGUCUAAUCUCUUGGAGUCUUGGACGCUUAAAUAUUAGACCACCCUUAAACAGAAAACUCAGAGGUCGAAUCUUCUUAUAAGAUGAUGCAUGCUUAGUUUGAUCUGCAGAAAAGUAGUAGAUAAAUUAUAUGACCCUCACUGCAUUGACAACAUUGGUUAUAAUAACAUUGAUGUGUCUAUCUCUAUAAGAAAAUUAAUAUCUGUGACAACAAUUUGUAGAAAACCUUAAUAGCUUUUCUUUGUUUUAUGAUCUCUGCCAUCUUAAAUGAAAAGUUGUUUUUAAUUCGUAGUGCUUUUCUGCUCCGAGAGCAAUAAAUUGAUCACUUUUCAUUAAAUGGACUAUGAUAGAAUUAUAGGAAUGCCAGUAGCUAUUCAUUGGUCUAAAAAGAAAGAAUGAAUAAUGAAUGUGCCAAAUUAAUUUUAUUUCUCUCAUAUUAACUAGGAUUCAUAUAUUGAUAUAUAAAAAAAGUUUGUGCAUGUAUUAUUAAUAACUAUUGAUUAAGAACUGUUUACUUAUCAAGAGUAGCCCCAAACAGAAAUAUCAAAAUAUUUAUUAAAGUUGUACUGGACCACUUGUGGCUAGCUCCCUUGCUCUCUGUAUUCAUAUAUUGAUAUAUAUUUGCUGAACCAAAGUUUGUAUAAUGUUUAUUGGCUUUAUGCAUAGCUUAUAUGAAUUCUCCAUUAGUUACGCCUAUUGAUAUUAAUACUUGCUGUUGUCCAGGACUCACAGACCUUAUUAUACUUUAAUUUAGAAAAUGAACUGUCAGCCAUAGCAAUAGAGAGAAGAUUAACGACUUCUUGCAGGAUGUUUAUUGGUACAUGCAAGAGGCUGAGAAUCAUGGUUCUGAACUUCUGAUGCUGAGGUAGAAACAACUUUUACGAAUAAUCAGUAAGAGGUACUCUAAAAUAACUUGACUUGCUAUGGAUAAUUGUUGUACCUUUGUAGCUGACAUGAUUUGGCAAUGUGGAAAUGUGUUUCAUUGUACGAGGAAAUGACUGUUCUUUUUUUUUGGCAAUGAGGAAAUGUGUGUUUCAAUUUUCAUAGUAUCUAACAUAAUAAUAUUUGGCAAUGUAGUAUCUUUUAAUGUAUUCUGUUAUGCAUUGUUGGGUGACCCUUUGCACUCUUUUCUGAAAUAUCCAUAUGUCUAUAUGAUUUACUUCUUAAUUUGUUGAUUACAGGCCAUCCAUUUACUAGAUCAAGGUGAAAGAAAUCAAAUUUUCCCCCAAAUUCAAGAUUCAAGAUGUGAAGAGUUAUGAUAUUGUAUUAGUUUAAUUAGUUGUAAUGUAUUAUUAUUUAUUUUAUUUUUUGUAAAUUUAUGUUUUGCAUUGUGAUGUAACAACAAUAUUAUUUAAUUUGCAUUUUUAUUUA